AGUGAACGCUGGCGGUAGGCCUAACACAUGCAAGUCGAACGGCAGCACAGGAGAGCUUGCUCUCUGGGUGGCGAGUGGCGGACGGGUGAGGAAUACAUCGGAAUCUACUCUGUCGUGGGGGAUAACGUAGGGAAACUUACGCUAAUACCGCAUACGACCUACGGGUGAAAGCAGGGGACCUUCGGGCCUUGCGCGAUUGAAUGAGCCGAUGUCGGAUUAGCUAGUUGGCGGGGUAAAGGCCCACCAAGGCGACGAUCCGUAGCUGGUCUGAGGGGAUAAUCAGCCACACUGGAACUGGGACACGGUCCAGACUCCUACGGGAGGCAGCAGUGGGGAAUAUUGGACAAUGGGCGCAAGCCUGAUCCAGCCAUACCGCGUGGGUGAAGAAGGCCUUCGGGUUGUAAAGCCCUUUUGUUGGGAAAGAAAUCCAGCUGGCUAAUACCCGGUUGGGAUGACGGUACCCAAAGAAUAAGCACCGGCUAACUUCGUGCCAGCAGCCGCUGUAA
rnacentral:rRNA from 1 species